ensembl:lncRNA
UACUUUGACAGGUUAUCAGUCUCUGCACUAACUGUUGCUACACAGAGGAUGAUUGGCCAAAGGAGAGAACAGCAGAAAUCUGUGACUAUGAACACAAAUAUUUAGAAGGCUAUUUGCCAGCAUAUCCAUGUAUAAAAUAGCAGUAGUAGUUUUCUCACUACAGCCUAUAAUCUCCCAAACAAUCGUCCCUUGACAAGAUUUAUGUUAUUUCGUGUGGAUUCCCUCAUGUGGAACAGCCUUCAGAUCCAAUUGGGAAAAAAAGCCAGAACCUGGAAGCAACCCAGAUGCCCUUCAACUGAAGAAUGGAUGAAGAAAAUAUGGUACAUUUACACAAUGGAGUACUACUUAGCAGAAAAAAAAUGGAAUCUUGAAAUUUGCAGGCAAAGGGAUAGAACUAGAAGAAACCAUCCUGAGUGAGGUAACCCAUUCACAAAAAGACAAAAAUGCCGUGGUUUGGAUCUGCAGGGUCCUAGAACGGUCCCUAUUCAAAGCUUGUUCCCCAUAGUGUGGCAACUAGAAGGCAGUGGAACAUGUAAGAGACAUUAAAACUUCUUGCAGUCAUUUGGAAUGGGAGAGGAGACCCUGAGCUCUUCUCACUUCAUGCUCUAGCCAUCAUGCCAAUGCUUCUCCACUGUAUGAUCCUCAGAAGCCUAAAGAGAAAAGGUUCCCCUGAUAAGUCAAAAACAGCUUUUCUUCUUUAGAAGUUGAUGUAUUGGGUUUUUGUGACAGAAACAACUAACAACCAACCUUCAUGGCCUCAUUAGCCUGAAAAAUGUAGCUUUGUUAAUCAAUUCUGGUAACUUUUAUCAGUGAUGAGACUUAAUUGUAUUAGAUGGAAAUUAUUUUAUGGUAAAUGCAUUGGGAAAAAUUAAGCAUAGGAAGAACAAUGUCUGUUUUCCAACACCAACCAUCUCUACUAUAAACAUAAUGUAGCCACCAGGAGGUACAAGUGUUUGUAAACAUAUCAGCCAUUCAACAAAGAGUAUCUAUCUAUUUAGCAGCACUGGUCAUGCAUUGGCACACAGGGUAAAUAUGAGUGAGAGUAGAAGAAUUCUCCUCUUUUUGGUUUUUGUUUGUUUGUUUUCUUUUUGUUUUUUGAGACAGGGUUUCUCUAUAUAGCACUGGCUGUUAUGGAACUCAUUCUGUUGACCAGGCUAGCCUCCCAAGUUCUGGGAUUAAAGUUAUGUGCCACCACCACCAAGCUAAGGAAUUUUCUAUCCAAAUAUUUCUUAAAUUUCAAAUAUAUUCAAUGACAUGACUUGUAAUAAUUCUCCUUAAUAAUUUUUAUUAAAAUGGCUAAGAUAAACAAUGACAUGGACAAAAGAAUCUUGUUGGGGCAGGGGAGAUGACUCAAUGAAGUGCUUGCUAUGCAAGCAUGAGGAGCUGAGUUUAGUCAUAAACACUCACAAAGAUAGCCAGAUAUGGUAAUGUGCCCUUUUGAUCCCAGUACUGGGAAGGUAGCCACAGGAGGGCCUCUGUAACUCACCAGGAAGGCAGCCAAUUCAGUAAGCCAAAGAUGCCAGUGAAUGACCCUGUUUUGUGUUUUUGUUAUUUUUAAGUGAGAUAUAGGGCUGCUGAGAUUUUCUUCUGGCCUCUACAUGUACACACAAAUAACCAGACAAACAAAUGCACCCCCCCACACACACACACAAACAUUAAAGCGUACACACAGAUGCACACACGUGGUAUUUUUGCCUGAAAAUCAAAUACAAAUUUAUAGCCCAAUAAAACUACUAAUAAGUAAUUAAGUAGGUAAAAGAAUGUAAAAUGUCCUUUGAGGUACAAAGAACAACCAAUUGACAUAUUUCCAUGGUAUUAUUGUUAAAAUUAACCAUAUUUUUAAAUUGGCAACUAUAUUUUGUUAUUUAUUAAUUAAAGGAGUAAUUUUUCUUCUUUCAGACAUACUAUAAAAUCUCAGUAGCAAAGGGAGUUAUGAUUUCGUGAAUUUGAGGCCUUCUUAUUCCAACAAAGCAAUCUGAUGUGAUGACACAGGUUGAAGGGCUGAGAGUUACAUUGUGUACUCUGAGCUGCUGACAUCUUUACUAACCCUUUGUCAUGAGUUUUAUAAGAUCUCAGUUCACAAGAAAUAACCCUAAAUAAGUAUUCUAAUCAAGCCCUACUCCCUAUAUCUUUCUUAAAUUAACCAUUCUGUGUUCAAACUAUUUUUGUAAAGGAAAACUCUAAACUUCUGAACUCAUAGAUACAUCAUAACACAACCCAGAAUUGGUUUUAAGCUACUUAUCAGAUUUUAGAAGUUAUAUACUGGUGUGAUUAGUAAUUGGGAUCAGAUUUUCACAUCAGAGUAAGAAUUAAGGGCAAGAACCAGAUCUCUUCUCCAACCCCUAUUAGUCCAGCCCAGUGCAUGGCAUCUAGCAGGUUUAUUGAAAAUAAUUAUCUAAUGACUGAUAUUCAUAGAUCUUAUAUCUUUUACCACAAUUUAGGCAUGAAGGGAAAUAGCCAGUUCUAAAUGUAAGGAUUGCACUAGGUGGUUCUCCGUGCUGAGAAAGUCAUGGGUAGAGAUGUAGGUUUACUUUUACCAGCUUCCGUUCAUUUCAGUCAUCAGUCUGCUCAUUCAUUUACUAGCACGUUUUAAUAGACUACAAUGUGUCAGGCACUGUUUUAGGAGCAGUGAAAGAAACACAACAGCAUGUCUUCAUCUUUGUAAAAGUUGGAAUUUUUUUGACAGUUUUGGGCAAUGAUGUUGUGAGAUACCAUGGUGCAAUACUUGGAAGAACUAAGUGCCCCUUUGUUGUCUUAGUUUAAUGGGGUUUCUUAAGGUAGAUGUUUCUAUCUCCCUACUCACUCAUGUCCACCACCCUUCUCUGUAAGCCUCACCCUUUGCUACAUAGCCUCAUGCUUUCCCUAGUUAGACCAGGCCCGUAUCAAGCAAGCCUCACCCUUCACAUAGCACUGUAGUAUUUGUGAUUUGAAAUACAAUUCCCAGAAUAAGUACUUUUCCUGUAGACUGUUUUAAUAGUUACUCAGACUUAGUUUCUGUUUUGUUUAUUCUGUGCUACCUUCACUCUGUACCUCAGGCUACUGGCAAGCAUAAGCACCACUUUUAAAGUGAUUUAGGAAAUAAGUGUUCUUCCUCUAGGGUGCAAAUAAAAGGAAAAGUUGUGGUAAAUAGCUAAUGCAAGCAAGAGGUGCCUUGGGGGAACCCUAAGAGUCACUUCUUUCAAACCAGCAAUAACUUCUGGUACUAUUGGUCCUGAGGCAGCAGCCGUCAACAUUGUUUAAAAAAGCUCCCUCAUGGUGCUCUCAUUAAUUAACUGCACUGUUUGUUGAUUCUAGAUUGAUUCAGUUUGUUCUCUGGAGAGCAUUUGUGGAGACUUGGUAAUGCUUGAUGCAGAAUUUCAUCUUCAGGCCCUAAACUCCCAGGAUGGAGGUUUACUGGGACAUAUAGAAGAUGAAGUGAAAAAGAGAAUUUGUUAGAUAAAAAUGGUAAUCAAAAUAUUUUAAAUUCAGAUGUAAUUUUUGAAGAUUUUCCCCACAGAGCUAAAAAAUUACCUGAAGCAAAGUUUGACUGACAGGCUGGCUUAACAAACAUAACAAGACAAACGGCAUGCAAAGCAGAUAGGGAAGUAUUUGUUGCUAAUGACUUGAGAAAGCAUUUUAAUUAAGUUGUUUGCCAAUUAAUGCCUCACUCCUAACAUUCCAUAAAUAUUUAAAUGUUUCCUAAACUUACUUUCUUACAGAAACACUUGCAAAUGUUACUAUGGAGCUUCCUUGGGAAUUUUGAAACAUAAAAAAAGAAUAGCAUUUGUAAGAGUCUACCUGCCACUCUCAUCUUGGUAGCUAUUAAACUUCAAAAUGUCUGAAAUGCCUAAACACUUCUUCCAUCCUAUUCCACAAAGAGUGGAUGAUAAUAGACUGCUUGCUGUUUGAACCCAUAGAAACUGAAGAUAUUCUGGGGCACACAGGAUAGUUUUAUUUAAAUUCAACUUAUUAAUCAUAUCCAAGAAAACAUUUUCAGAUGAUACCCUACAAUCUCACACAUAGCUAUUAUUAAUAAUUGAGUCAUCCAACUUAGAAACCUCAAAAUACUGCCUACUCAACCUCAAUGAAAUAAAUGACAGCAUGUGACUUUUGCUGUACCAGAUUUGAAUUCAAUUUGUAAGAUAGUUAUCAUUAACCCCAAAUUGCCAAACACCCCCUCUCUUUUUCUGCUUACUCCUUCUUGGGACUAGCAUUCUGAUGCUUAUUGUUUAAGUGGUUUUCAUGAAAUGAAUGAAUGAUAAUAGAUCAUGGUUUGAACUCAUCCAGACUACUAAAGACACUUGUGCCUUCAUCAGCACAUGGCAUUUUCUUGUAUGACAUGGUGAGUAUGUCAUCCAUCACCAAGCUGAGAGGGCUGACCCACCUGGCCCAGAAGCCAUAAGCACAUCUGCCAGCUGACCUGCUAUUCAGGAGUCAGGUGGCAGCAGAGAAAGAAUCAACUUACACUGAGUCAUUUAGAGUGGAAAUCAGAGGGGAGGGAAAGAAGUCACAGGGGAGUUUUUCUGAUAAUGAAAUGUUUGCUCUUUCUGAGACUGUGGGAGUAAGUAGGGCUGGCGUAGAAGGUGGAUAGGAGGCGUUACAGAGCACCCAUGAGGAAAUGCACAUCUGUGCAUGCUGGAGGAUAGUAGCAUAGCAUCCUCUAGGGAGCCAUAACAAGUGUCUCCAGUCACUCAACCCUAUGAACAGAUCACUGUCCCCGUAUCAGGAAAGCCAAAUCAUUCGUGUUCCAACAGUAAUAACAAAAUAACUGUUACUGCAGGAACUUAACUAUGUAGUAACCUGAUUCAGAGUUCUGAAAGGAUGGUAACUUUGUUUUCUCUGUAGAUGGCAUUUGAACACAGUGAGUAUGACCUCAAGGAGGGAAAUCUCCCAUAAGAAAAUCCUUUGGCCUUCAGAAGACAGCAUUUGGUGGCUGUCCAAGUUGGGGUUUCUAGUGUUAUGAAGAGACACCAUGACCAUGGCAACUCUUAUAAAGAAAGCAUUUACCUGGAGUGGAUUGCUUAAGUUUCAGAGGUUUAGUCCAUUAUCAUCAUGACUGGAGCAUAGUGGCAUGCAGGCAGAUGUGGUGCUGGAGCUGAGAGUUCUACAUCCUGUAGGAAGUCAGCUGAGACAAUCCCUGGUAUCCUGAGCAUAGGAAACCUCAAAGCCUGUCCCCACAAUGACACACUUCCUCCAACAAGGCAAUACCCACUCCAACAAAGCCACACCUUAUAAUAGUGCCAUUUCCUAUGAGAUUAUGAAGGCCAAUUAUAUUCAAACUAUUACAGUGGAGUAGAGGAGGAGUUAGGAGGCCAUUUACCAUGCUUUUGAUUCCCCCAAGAUGUCCAUGUUCUCUGUGGACAUCUCUUGGUAAUCAUGUAAUUUGUUGGGGUCAUGUUGAUGCCAACACAUCAUGUACUUACACGACAAGAGCUAGAUGGCAUUAUCUCCUAACUCCAGUCUGUUUAGUCUUGCAAUUUUAAAUACUUAAGCCAUUUGGGACUUAUGACUUAACUGGAAGUUAACUAGAAAUCAAAAGUUUUAAAAUGUUGUGAAAAAUUAUACAAAAAGGAAAGGAAAACAAAAACCUCAUAUGAUGGAUAAUUUUCUAUGUCAGUUUUCCUGGGCUAUAGGAUGCCCAGAUAUCUGGACAAACAAUACUUCUUCGUGGCAAUGUUUAUGGAAGAAAACAAUAAAACUGAGUCAAGUGUAUCUAUUUCAUUGAAUGUGUCCCCUGGGGCCUGAAUACAAAAGAACAGAGAAAGAAGCUAGAUUUCUUUCUUUCUUUGACUAUUUUAGCUAAGACUUCAUUUUUUUUUUUGCCUUAGCAUUCCUGGUUCUCAGACCUUAAGACCUGUUCUAGUUUUGACAUAAAAACACAUCUUUGGCUCUCAGAACUUCACAUAUUUUCAUUGGGAGAUUGUGGAACCUCUCAUCUUUUUACGGUAACAUAAUAAUGAUAGGAUUGCUAUAGUAUUUAUAAAUUACCAGUAUAACAUUUAAUAUGUAUUUUCUUUGGAGAACACUGGUUAACCCAGCCUAUACAGAGCCUGUUUCACAUUCACAUAGCAGAUGGAGAAAGAUGGCUAACAAGGUCUCCUGAGCAAAUUGGGAGCAUGGGGGAAGGGGAGAGGGAACUAGGAGAAUGAGAAAGGAGAAGAGGAGGGGGGAGGAAGACAUAAGGAAGCAGGAAGGUUGUGUAAGGGGAAGAAUACAGGAGAGCAAAAUAAGAGAUACCAUCAAAGAGGGAGCCAGUAUAGGUUUAAAGCAAAAUCAGGCACUAGGGAAAUGUCCAGAGAUCUACAAGGAUGAUACCAACUAACCAUCAAAGCAACAGUGGAAAGGUUACCUUAAAUGCCCUCCCCUGAUAAUGAGAUUGAUGACUAACUUAUAUACCAUCCUAGAGCCUUCAUCCAGCAGCUGAUGGAAGUAGAAGCAGGUAACCACAGCUAAAAAUUGAACUGAACUUGAAUCCAGUUGCAGAGAAGGAGGAGUGAUGAGCAAACAGGUCAAGACCAUGCUAGUGAAACCCAUAGAAACAGUUGACCUGAACAAGAGGGAGCCCUUGGCCCCCAGACUGAUAACUGGGAAACCAGCAUGGAACUGAUCCAGACCCCAUGAAUGUGGGUGUCAGUGAGGAGGCCUCAGAAAUCUAUGGGACCUAUUGUAGUAGAUCAGUAAUUAUCCCUAUCGUAGGAAUGGACUUUGGGAUCCCAUUUCACAUAGAGGGAUACUCCCUCAGCCUAGACACACAGGCGAGGGCCUAGUCCCUAUCCCAAAGGAUAUGACAGACUCUGAAGACCCCCUACAGAAGGCUUCACUCUCCCUAGAGAGCAGAAAUGGUAUUGGAUAGGUAGGGUGUUAGUUGGGGGCAGGGAAGGAGGGGAGGAAGAGGGAAUGGGGAUUGAUGUGUAAAAUAAUCUUUCUAAUUCAAAUAAAAAAAACUAAAAAAAAAAAGUCCACAUUUCUUUUAUUGGCUAUGAAGAAAUAUCAAGGACUAGUCUUGCCUUCCUGUUGUAAAUUGGACAAAAUGAAGCCACAUGCAACUAUUUUCAGAUGCUGCCAGUCUUGCAGAACUCUGAACUUUUAGGACAGUAGUUCUCAAUCUUUCAAAUGCUAGUAAAGUUCCUCAUGUUGUGGUGACUCCCAUCCAUAAAAUUAUUUUUGUUGCUACUUCAUGACUGCAAUUUUGCUUCUGUUAUGAAUCCUAAAGUAAUUAUCUGUGUUUUCAGAUGGUCUUAGGUAACACCUUGAAAGGGUCAUUUUACCCAAAGGGGUUGCGACCCAUAGAAUGGGAACCAUUUCUUUAGGAUAUCUUUCCUAUUUUUUACCUAAAGGCACUUUCUUGACCUUGACAGGAUUCUCUUCUGUACUGCCUUAGUCUGGGAGACAAAUUUGUAGAGAGCAGCUAUGUUUGUACUGAUAUACAACCAAUUACAAGUGAGGAAUGCACAGAAAGAAGUCCAGACUCUUCUGUUCUUCCAGAGUCUGUUGCACAGAAUAAGGAAAAAAAAGAAGAAGAAAACCUCUAUAUUAGUUUAAGAAGUAUAGCAGUAGCCUUUGGAAAAAAUGCAUUGGGUGAACCUUCUUGUUUAGACUUUUCAAACUUAUACUCAUAUAUAACACCAUUAUGAUGUUAGAUUUGUAGAUUUCUUUUUAUGUAGAAGAAGCAAGAUUGCAAUAAAUAUAGGUUCUGAUUGUCAUAUUUUCCUUUGUGAAACAUGUUGGGGCUCAGUAAAUAAAACCUCAAAAUACAGCACUUUGGCUUGUGG